GAUGAACGCUAGCUACAGGCUUAACACAUGCAAGUCGCGGGGCAGCAUGGGGUUGGUUGCAAUCCCCGGUGGCGGACGGGGGAAGGGGGAGGAACGCCUAUCCCACCCUCCCUUCACCACGGGGUAAACCGGCGGAAAUCCGGACAAUUCCGUAUGGUGUCCAUUGGCGGGAUCCGAAUUUGACGAAAGGUUUGGCGGUGAAGGGUGGGGAUGCGUCCGAUUAGCUGGAAGGCGGGGGGACGGCCCACCGUGGCGACGAUCGGUAGGGGUUCUGAGAGGAAGGUCCCCCACACUGGAACUGAGACACGGUCCAGACUCCUACGGGAGGCAGCAGUGAGGAAUAUUGGUCAAUGGGCGUAAGCCUGAACCAGCCAAGUAGCGUGCAGGAUGACGGCCCUAUGGGUUGUAAACUGCUUUUAUGCGGGGAUAAAGUGGCCCACGUGUGGGUUUUUGCAGGUACCGCAUGAAUAAGGACCGGCUAAUUCCGUG
rnacentral:rRNA from 1 species